ensembl:snRNA U6 U6 spliceosomal RNA
GUGUUCACUUUGACAGCACAUAUACAAAAAUUGGAACUAUACAGAGAAGAUUAGCAUGGCCCCUGUGCAGGAUGACAUACAAAUUUGUGAAGCAUUCUACAUUUUU